rnacentral:rRNA from 1 species
UGGGGAAUUUUGGACAAUGGGCGCAAGCCUGAUCCAGCAACGCCGCGUGAAGGAUGAAGUCCCUCGGGAUGUAAACUUCGUAAGAAUAGGAAGAAUAAAUGACGGUACUAUUUAUAAGGUCCGGCUAACUACGUGCCAGCAGCCGCGGUAAUACGUAGGGACCAAGCGUUGUUCGGAUUUACUGGGCGUAAAGGGCGCGUAGGCGGCAAUUCAAGUCAUCUGUGAAAUCUCCGGGCUUAACUCGGAACGGUCAGAUGAUACUGCUUUGCUAGAGUGCAGAAGGGGCAAUCGGAAUUCUUGGUGUAGCGGUGAAAUGCGUAGAUAUCAAGAGGAACACCUGAGGUGAAGACGGGUUGCUGGGCUGACACUGACGCUGAGGCGCGAAAGCCAGGGGAGCAAACGGGAUUAGAUACCCAAGUAGUCCCUGAGCGGGCUGGCAAGGCG